GCUCCCUGCCUCACUCUAACAUGAGCUCCCAAGGGGAGGGCCUCUGAGUUCUCUCACCGCUGCAUCCCUUCUGCCUAGGGCAGCACCUGGCAGACAGAGGGCUGGGGAAUGGAUGUCGAGAGAAUCUUUCAACAAGGCGUUUCCACCUUGUUGAUUUCCACAGGUACAACCCCUCUCCUAAGGAAUUCUGCACCGAGGAGCAGAGACACUCAGAUUUUAUGCACAGACUCCACAAAGGUAUUUCCAUUCAGAUUCAGAUACAAGCCAAUACAUAUUCUUUAUUUUCUUGGAUAUUUGUAAGUCUGACUCCAAUCCUCCAUCUCACUCAGCUGGCAACAAAGCCCCCUCCAUUGGUACUGGGCUCGCCCACCACCCCGGGAUCACAGCAGAGCCUAGAGGCUCACGCUGUGGCCCAGGAAACGUGAAAGACCUCUGACCUUCAGCCCAGCACAGCCAGAC
rnacentral:lncRNA from 1 species